CGCGCAGGUGGUGAAGUACAGUAAUUUGAAAGGGACGCGGUGUAAUGAUUUACGACCCGUCAAAUGUGUUUUUUGUUGUUUGUUUUGUUGUGUUGGGUUCUUGUUGAGCUGUUGUGCGUUCACAAGAGUAUCCACGUUGGAGGAACCCCCAUCCUCGUUGAGUACGUUUUGGCUCAAGGAGGUCUUCCAUUUAAAGGUAAGUUGUUUAAUUAUGAAAUUUGCAUGUCAAGUACUGGCCUGCUGAUGGUCUUGAUGAUGCUCUCCAACUCAUCGUUGGAGGGCGGGUUGCGCCCGCCCAUCGGGAACACCAGGUUGAUGGGGUCAAAGAGGCGAGAGAGAGACUUGGACAGG